AUGCUCUUCUGUAGCCAACCCGUUAUAAUGACCACAGAUGAGGGCCUGAGGCUCUUAGGCUCAUCCAAGCCUGUGAAGCAUUUGCUGACUUUUUUCCAUCUGCAACUUUUGCUCUUUUUCUUCCUUUUGAUGGAAGAUGACUGUGGCUGGGUUCUCCUUAUUCCUCAUGGUGGAGAGGAGCUUCCUUCACCUAAACAGCUGGGCUGUAAAUCACCAGGGAUGCUGAGAUGUGGCAGUGGUUUAACACUGGGAAACAAGAAGCAUCAGUCUAAAAUUACCAGGAAGGUGAUGUUCCCUGGCCCGUGCUAUGCAUCACACCCAUCCCUGCUGGCACCACCAUCCGUUAUUCAGCCGUGCCUGUCACGCAGGACUCCUGAAGCUGAUUCUGCCUUGAGAUUUCUCAGCCUGGUGAAGGACAUAAACCUCAGGCCUGAAAUACUAUUGCAGCACACCUGUGCACUCCCUGCACCCACUCACCCCCACGAUGGGGAUGAGGUUCUUUGAUUUUGUAACCUACAAUGUUAGAACAUAAUGCUGACUUGUUUUACAACCUUUUUGUCACUCGAGUAAAUGAAGUCUCCAAUUUUAAAGGGAUCACUUCUAUUUUUUAUUGGAUUUUUGUUCAGCGUGCGGAACUCUUCCCUGUUAUGGAUCUGGGUUUAAUUGAAGUUCCAUUAUCUUGAUCUUUUCCGGUUUAAUUUUGGUCUGACCUUGAUGUUCUUGGGAUGCUGCAUCUCAGCCGCAGCUUGGGCCAGUGCUGUGAGCUGCACCUACAGAAGCACCUUUCUUCUUAACACAGGGACGCUUGCAGAUUAGUUUGUGUUCUUUCUGUUUAUUCUUUAUAGCUGAGCAGGAUCUAAGCUGUCCCGUUAUGUUGUAGACACCCCCACUGCAAUCAUCUGCGGGGUCUGCAGGGUUUGUGGACAGGGUAGGUGGAGGAGCUGCAGUUCUGAGGUCAGUUGGGCUGCUGGGCUCAGAGGAGGCACAGACAACCCGCUUUGGGGAGAGAACCAGAAUCCUUCAAACAGCUCCUGGUGAUGUGUGGCUCCUAAAAUACAGCCCAAGUCACUAAACCUGCCCCCUCAGCAUGCUUAGCAUCUGCAAGUGUUUCGGUGGCAUUACCACAGUUAGGCUGUAAGUGAUAAACAUCCUGGAUGAGGUUCCUCCCCCCUCAUCAGAGCCUCAUAAAGCACGUCAGAACGAUAACAUUUAAUGCCUCGUGCCCUGUGGUGAGGUGUUGUGAAGAGCUGUUCAUGGAGAACUCCCUCCCGUCCUUCACCUCCGUUACGCUCCCUGGGGGAGACACUGCUGGUCUGUAUGCCCCCAUAGGGCCCAGGAGAUGCUUCGAUACCUGGGAAACCCCGAGCUGCAGGUUCAGACACCUCUGGCACCACAAUGAGGUGAGUGCUGAGGUAUCAGCAGGGACCCCUGUGCUCUGCAGGGGCCCUCUCCUCCCUCCCUCCAAACCCCUGCUUGCACCCAGCUCCACGGGGGUAAGCCAGGG
rnacentral:lncRNA from 1 species